rnacentral:rRNA from 1 species
ACUCCUACGGGAGGCAGCAGUAGGGAAUCUUCCACAAUGGGCGCAAGCCUGAUGGAGCAACACCGCGUGAGUGAAGAAGGGUUUCGGCUCGUAAAGCUCUAUUGUUAAAGAAGAACACGUAUGAGAGUAACUGUUCAUACGUUGACGGUAUUUAACCAGAAAGUCACGGCUAACUACGUGCCAGCAGCCGCGGUAAUACGUAGGUGGCAAGCGUUAUCCGGAUUUAUUGGGCGUAAAGAGAGUGCAGGCGGUUUUCUAAGUCUGAUGUGAAAGCCUUCGGCUUAACCGGAGAAGUGCAUCGGAAACUGGAUAACUUGAGUGCAGAAGAGGGUAGUGGAACUCCAUGUGUAGCGGUGGAAUGCGUAGAUAUAUGGAAGAACACCAGUGGCGAAGGCGGCUACCUGGUCUGCAACUGACGCUGAGACUCGAAAGCAUGGGGUAGCGAACAGGAUUAGAUACCCUGGUAGGAUAGCG